GACGAACGCUGGCGGCGUGCCUAAUACAUGCAAGUAGAACGCUGAAGGAGGAGCUUGCUUCUCUGGAUGAGUUGCGAACGGGUGAGUAACGCGUAGGUAACCUGCCUGGUAGCGGGGGAUAACUAUUGGAAACGAUAGCUAAUACCGCAUAAUAGUAGAUGUUGCAUGACAUUUGCUUAAAAGGUGCAAUUGCAUCACUACCAGAUGGACCUGCGUUGUUUUAGCUAGUUGGUGGGGUAACGGCGCAACAAGGCGACGAUACAUAGCCGACCUGGGAGGGGGAUCGGCCAAACUGGGACUGGGACACGGCCCAGGCGCCUACGGGAGGCAGCAGUAGGGAAACUUCGGCAAGGGACGGAAGUCCGACCGGGCAACGCCGCGGGAGUGAAGAAGGUUUUCGGAUCGGAAAGCUCUGUUGUAAGAGAAGAACGAGUGGGAGAGUGGAAAGUUCACACUGUGACGGUAUCUUACCAGAAAGGGACGGCUAACUACGUG
rnacentral:rRNA from 1 species